AUGAAUUAAUGUAUAUUAAUGGAUAACUGUAAUUGCCAUCCUUUUAUACAUGGAAUCUUGGAACUUAAUACAUGGUUUUAAGUAGAAUUUAAUAUGGUUGUGGAUGUUUGUUUAUGCUGGUUGAUUCCCAAGAUGUCAUUUGUGUGUUUCUAACCACAUGCCUUACAGACACCAUAUACUCAAGUGAUUUUUGUUGAAUUCAUCUGACAUCUUUAUUUUAGUGUAAAGACUGUUUCACUGUGUUGAAACUUCAGUUCUGAUCUUUUCAUCUAUAGCUAUUUUCUCCUUUCUUUUUUACACUGUCUCUUUUGUAUACACUAGCAAGAUUUAAUUCUCUUGAAUCUCAAGUGUGGUGGGAGUGAAUGUAGGGGAGGCAUAUAUGUGUGGAGGUAUGUAUAAGUGUGAGUGAAUGUAAUAAUGUGCAUGUAUAAAUAGGUUAGAAUGGCAGUGUAAUUCAUUUCUUCAGUGAGGCUAUAUUAAUAGCUCAUGAUUUCCACAGAACUUUCUCGUAAAUUUAAAUCUAGUUAUUAGUAUUUGCCCACUUUCUAAGAGUUGUUGGGAGAGAAACUACCCUCUGUGCAGGACAUAUUUCCCCAUUUGCGGUAACAUUCUACAAAAUUUAAAUGCUCAUUCUCUAAUUUAACACAUAUAAUCUUCAAAAAUCCUAGUCAUUUGGUGGAUCACAGGCAGUUGCAGCAGUGAAGGAACUCUGAAUUCACUCAUUUCUUUUCCUGAACUGGCCAGUCGAGAGUUUCUUAAACCAGGCAGUUUUGUACAACGACAGAUCUGUUCUAGAAAAUCAUCAUGCUGCAUCAGCUUGGAAUCUAUAUCUUUCUCGCCCAGAAUACAACUUCCUUCUUAAUCUUGACCAUGUGGAGUUCAAGCGCUUUCGUUUUUUAGUCAUUGAAGCAAUCCUUGCCACAGAUCUCAAAAAGCAUUUUGAUUUCCUUGCUGAAUUCAAUGCCAAGGCCAAUGAUGUAAACAGUAAUGGCAUAGAAUGGAGUAAUGAAAAUGAUCGCCUCUUAGUCUGCCAGGUGUGCAUCAAACUAGCAGAUAUAAAUGGCCCAGCAAAAGUUCGGGAUUUGCAUUUGAAAUGGACAGAAGGCAUUGUCAAUGAAUUUUAUGAGCAGGGAGAUGAAGAAGCAAAUCUUGGCCUACCCAUCAGUCCCUUCAUGGAUCGUUCAUCUCCUCAACUAGCAAAACUCCAAGAAUCUUUCAUCACCCACAUAGUGGGUCCCUUGUGUAACUCCUAUGACGCUGCUGGUUUGCUGCCAGGGCAGUGGGUAGAAGGAGAAGAGGAUGAUGACACUGAAAGUAGUGAUGAUGAGGAUGGUGAAGAAUUAGAUACAGAUGAAGAAAUAGAAGACAAUCUAAAUCCUAAACCACAAAGAAGGAAAGGCAGACGACAAAUAUUUUGUCAGCUAAUGCACCACCUCACUGAAAAUCACAAGAUAUGGAAGGAAAUUAUAGAGGAAGAAGGAAAAUGUAAAGCUGAGGGAAAUAAACUACAGGUGGAAAAUACCUCCUUACCUCAAGCAGAUGAGAUUCAGGUCAUUGAAGAAGCAGAUGAAGAGGAAGAGCGACAGUUAGAAUAAAAGAAAAGUCAUAUUGAGGAAGCCUGGAGGGCUGUUCCCAGGACCAGAAAUCAUUACCCGAUGUUCACUGUGCUGACUUUCAAUUGACCAUUCCCACAUAGACAGGCCUUAAUACUGUGAGAGGAUCCUUGCUGUGCUGGCAGUUUCCCACUCCUAAGCACUUUGAUCACAUGGACUAGAAAACUGUACUUAGAGCUGGGCGUCAGUUGACUUGUGUUGCAAAGCCAUUACUCAAAGCCUUCACUGGUGUAUAAAUAUUUUGUCAUAAUGUUGCUUUGCUGGGUGGUGAGCUCUUAUUUUUCAUGGGGCAGGGGGCUAUAACUAAAAAAUCAGGUGACUUGGCUCCAGUUUCCAAAGUGGCCAGAACUUUCUGCUUUCAUGAAAACAGGAUUUAUAUUAUAUUUCUACAUGUAUCUUUCAUGUUUUCCAAUGUUUUGAAAAAAGUGUAUGCUUAUCUAUAAAGGAAUCCAUUGUGGCCUUUCCGAGGGAUUUCUGCUCAAUGCAGUGCACUGUUCAGUUCUGUUCUCCCGGCUAGGUUUAUCUAUGAAGGACUGAUGGACCUUUGUUAUAUUUAACAAAAUCCAGGUGCAUCAAUUUCUGAUGCUUUUUACUGUUAUGUAUUGUCUACUAUGUGUGUUUUAUUUCUGCUCAGAGUAUUCAGGUUGCCAUGGACAUUGGACAUCAGAAUUCUAGUCUUAAUGGACUUAUGUUCCAUGGUUGGAUUUUAAAGCUGUUUGAAGGACUUUUAUUCUUUAGUCAAAACUGUUCUUUUACUCUUGCUCAGGAUUUGUAUUUUUAAACAUUUAGUUAAUAUAAACAGAUUUGUCAAAAGAAAAAUGUUGUCUUAAUAUUCAUGUUAACCUUUUAUGAAAUGAACAUCAUUUUCUCUGUUCUUAAAUGAAUUUGUGACUAAUUAAAUCCAAGGAAAAGGAGUUAAUCUGUCUUUUGCCUUAAUAUAAAAUCAAAUGAAACUAAACCCUUCAGAGAUAAAGAACAAAAGAAAUAUGUUGAGCUCUAAAGGACAGAUACAUUGAAUAAAUUGAAAUAUGUGGUUAUCUUUAGAUCUGUAUCUUAUUUGUCAUGUGUUUAGUUACUAUAAAACCAACAUUCAUCUUUUUAUUUUCUGCCUAAAGACUACAUGACAAAAAUGACCUGUCAUUACUCAAUAAUUCUAGAGUCCAACUGCAAGAUUGAUUUCUGAGAUAAAGUAAAUGAUGAGAAUACUUCAGUUUAUAUAAAAAAUAUUUUAGUAAAUCAUUUCACAAAAAAGCUUAUAAAUAACUACAUUAUAAAGAUAAUUAUGAAGAAAAUAGACCAUAUUUAUAAUGUUUAUAAACUUGUUAUGGUGCAGACAUAUAUCUUAGCUGUGAAAAAUACCUAAAGUUUUAAAGUACAGUCAAAAUGAUAGGGUAAAUAAUAUUUUUCAUUAUUCCUCAAGAUUACAUCAUAUGUUGGACCUGUGCAACUUUGUAGACAAUACCAUUAAUUUCUAAAGUAAUUCCUUUAAAGUAUAUUAGCAGACAGUUUUUUAUCUACCUAGAAUAUUUGGGUUACCUGGAAGAUAUUAAAAAUCUAUGAAGUAUUGGGAUCUUUGAUCCUGCGCAGUAUAUUUAAUAAAUCACUAAGCUUUAUUUAUUAAAUAUGUUGAGUGCUGAAUUCCUUCCUGCCACUUUUGCUACCAUUACCAGUCCAUAUGUAAACUAGUCCCACCAUAUAUUAGUGAAUAAAAAUUUUAAAAUUUGAGUUUGCACAUGUGUGUAAAUGCAUAUUUAUAUGAAUAUAUGUGUGUAUAUGCAUAUAUAUAUAUAUAUAUUCUGUGCCUGUAUUUCUCUAGCAUACAUUUUGCAUUCUACAUGUUUUUCUGCUAUUGCUUCUUUUCUGAUACAAUAUGCUCAUACAUUUGUAUAACUUCAUACAUGUGCUUGUAUGUAUAAGGUCACAUUUCUAUACUAAUUACUGAAAUUUUGUACUUUCUUGGAAGAAGCAUAUUUUUAGUUAUUAAAAAUACUCAGAACUCAUUUUAAAAUAACCCUUAAAUUACUUAAUUUUUGCUAAUUGACAUAUAUCCAAAUGACUGGCCCAAAUCAUCCCUACUAAAAUUUUAAAAUUUAUAAUUGGAAGUGUUAUGGCUUAUAUCUAGAUGUCCACCCAAAGCCUCAUGUGGUCAUAGGUGGGGAUUUUCAAAGGUAGUUGGAUUAGGGUUUGUGAAUAUGGAUUAAGGUUGUGAAACAGGAUUAAGGGUGUAAAUAAUGGAAGCCCCGCCCUACGGGUGGGUGGCACCACCCAAAAGUCUUGUUGCCUGGAUGGAAUAUAAAGGGACAAAAAGAAACCAGACUGCUGUUGCUGCUUACUACCUUCUGCUUGCCUUGCCAUGGACUGUGUCUCCUCAGCCAUGCCACCCUCCUUUGGAGCUAGCCAACUAUGGAUUGAAACCUCUACAAACUGUGAGCCAAAUAAACCUUUCUUCCUUUAA